AUUGAACGCUGGCGGCAUGCUUUACACAUGCAAGUCGGACGAGUGGCGAACGGGUGAGUAACGCAUCGGAACGUACCGAGUAAUGGGGGAUAACUGUCGGAAAGGACGGCUAAUACCGCAUACUAUUCGAUCGGCCGAUGUCGGAUUAGCUGGUUGGGGGGGUAAAGGCCCACCAAGGCGACGAUCAGUAGCGGGUCUGAGAGGAUGAUCAGCCACACUGGGACUGAGACACGGCCCAGACUCCUACGGGAGGCAGCAGUGGGGAAUUUUGGACAAUGGGCGCAAGCCUGAUCCAGCCAUGCCGCGUGUCUGAAGAAGGCCUUCGGGUUGUAAAGUACUUUUGGCAGGGAGGCGGUACCUGAAGAAUAAGCACCGGCUAACUACGUGCCAGCAGCCGCGGUAAUUC
rnacentral:rRNA from 1 species